UACGGAGGGUGCAAGCGUUAUCCGGAUUCACUGGGGUUAAAGGGUGCGUAGGUGGGCAGGUAAGUCAGUGGUGAAAUCUCCGGGCUCAACCCGGAAACUGCCAUUGAUACUAUCAGUCUUGAAUAUCGUGGAGGUAAGCGGAAUAUGUCAUGUAGCGGUGAAAUGCUUAGAUAUGACAUAGAACACCAAUUGCGAAGGCAGCUUACUACCCGAAUAUUGACACUGAGGCACGAAAGCGUGGGGAUCAAACAGG
rnacentral:rRNA from 1 species